rnacentral:rRNA from 1 species
GAUGAACGCUGGCGGCGUGCCUAACACAUGCAAGUCGAGCGAAAGGACGAGAAGUUUGCUUCUCUGAUGUUAGCGGCGGGCGGGUGAGUACCACGAGGAUACCUUGCCUAUAAGACUGGGAUCAGUUAGGGGGACCGAAGCUAAUAUCGGAUCAUAGUUAGAAAGUCGGGGUUCAAAAGUGAAAGACGGUUUUGAUGACCCUUAUACGUAGAUGCUAGCUGCAUUGGUUAGUUGGUACGGUAACGGCAUACCGAGGCGACGAUGCGUAGCCGACCUGAGAGGGUGAUCGGCCACACUGGAACUGAGACACGGUCCAGACUCCUACGGGAGGCAGCAGUAGGGAAUCUUGCGCAAUGGGCGAAAGCCUGACGGAGCAACGCCGCGUGAGUGAAGAAGGUCUUCGGAUCGUAAAACUCUGUUAGUAGGGAAGAACGGAUGUAUGAGUAACUGUGCAUAUCUUGACGGUACCUACAGAAUAAGCAACGGCUAACUACGUG